GCGCUCGGUUGUGCCGUUAUCGUGCAAUGCUUCAUCCCCGGUGCCGUUCAAUCCCAGGUCGUUUUCCCUUUCAGCUGCAAUGCCGGGAUUUUAAAUAGCAGAGAUGAAAGGCCCCUGCCCCCGCCUCCCUCCUCCCCUGAGUUCAUGUAUUAUGAAUGAAACGGCAGCCUCGCUGCUUCCUGAGGUGCUCCACUUCAGGUUGGAGUGCAGUGGUGCUGUGUCUGGAGUUUGUUCCUGCCGUUGGGUUUGUGGUCUUGCUGACUUCAAGAAUGAAGCCACGGACCUUCACGAGAAAUAUUACGUUGUAUGGAUGUACCACUGUUUGUUUAUCCAUUCUUCAGGUGAAGGACAUGUGGGUUGUGCCCAGCGCGGGCUGAAUAAAGUCCAUCGCCUUGGCUUAGUGCAUGUCACCAAAAAUUCUCCAGGAAUUUCAUAGUUUGGACCUUGGUGGCAUGGCUGGCCCUGGAUUAUCCAUGCAGGGAGGCCUGAUCCUGUGACAGCUGGCUGCAGCAGGGGGCUGCCCAUCUUCUGUGCUUUGUGGUACAUAUCUGUGUCACCAAAGUAGCGGCCUCGGUACAGCAAGCCUUUCAUCUGCUGCUUCUCCGUCCAGCAGUUGUUCCAGAGGUUGGCGAUAUAAUCAUCUUUCACAUUCGGUUUGACUGUUUGGAGGCUGGAGCCUGUGUACUCCUCGGAGAAAAUGCCUGCCACAUAGUAGAUGACACUCAGGUGGUCAGUGACUCGCCUGUGAUGUGGCCCACAAACAGUCUUGGGCUCAGACUGUAGGGUGGACUGGAGACCAUGAGCUGGCUGAGAGCUGACAUGAGGAUGAGGAUGGGUAUCAGCUGCACGAACACCCGCAAGCUGCCGUCACUCCGCUUCUCCCUGCAGCCCUGCCUUUGCUGAUACACACACAGGCACAUUGGAAACGCAGUAGAAAAUGGCUGCCAAUUUAAAACCAGAAGUUAAGAAGAGCAAACUCGAAUGUACAGCAAGAGAGCUUCAGGCUGGACUGGCUUCCAGCAGAAGUGGGACUGGAAAC
rnacentral:lncRNA from 1 species